GCGCGACCUCCUUUUAUAAAAUUGGGGGGGGGGGCUGCGGAUGGGGCAUGUCCAGGAACCUCGACGCCCCAAUUCUGCUCUCUCAGCAAGUACUGAGGGGCCUUGCCCACCCGCCCUGGUAAGGCAAGGGCUGCCUCUAUCUCGCCUCUGCUCCGACUCUGGCCAAGGGACAAUGACCCUUCUACACCCCCAUCUCUCGCCCAGCCACCUGUAGGGGCUCCCCAGGGACCCUUGUGCGAGCACUUUCGGUUUGGAGUCUAGGCCGGGCUGCUUUCCCGGCGGUGAGUGUCGGUGGACUUCCCAGCCCCGGGUUCGAGCUCCGGCCGAGAGGGAGGUGUCGUGGCUCCCGGAGGCUGCCCUCCUGCAGCCAGUCUGUCAGUCUGCUCGGCCUCGGUCCCCCAGUCUGUGGCCGCCCCAGCACCCGAGUUUGCUGCUCCGGGGGGACCCCAGCGCUGGCACGCACCUCUCUCCCUUUUAAGGAGGCUCCAGGCGCCCCACGAUGCCCUCGAGGCCCCCCUCCUCUCAAGCUCCGGGGCUCCCCAGGGUGGGGUGGGUGGGGUGGGGGACGCCCUUCUCGGGGUGGCAGCUUUCUGGGACUCGCACUCUCGGGUGCACCGACCGAGGCUCGGAGCUGCCAGCCCCGGACCUAGGGGCCUCCAGAUGGCGGGGACCCGACUUGGACUAUGUUGCUUCAACCUGCCCCACACCGGAGCCGAACCCGCGUCCCGCCUGUGGGUGGCAACCACGAGACCCCGCACCAACGGCACCUGCCUCCCCCGUGCGCGGUCGGGCCGCGCUGGUCUCCCAGGACAAGCUCACAGGUUGCUGGGAAGGUAGCAGUCCUGCUUUGUUUUUCCUAAGACAACACCUCAUAGAAAUGCAGAUGUGAGUAUUUCAGCCAGGAGCAGUGAAAAUCCUGUGAUGACAAAAACCAAACCAAAACAAAAAAACUUUAAUCUGGAAGGAGUGGAUUAAAAAAAAAAGGGACCCACAGACUUGACUGAAUGAAGAGAACAGAGAAAAUCAACUCCAAAUAAGACCCUCUCCCUGGAGGAAUUCUUUGAGGAAUGUUAGUUCUGAUGUUCUUUUCCAGUGUGUUGCAAUUGCUUUACUGACUUCAGUACCCUCAGACCAGCCUUGAAUGAAAAAUCCACAGGGAGCUAACUGCAUUUGGGAAACCAAGGACUUGCUGCCUUAAGGAUCUCCAGACCAGACCAGCUCAAGAGACACCAGCAGCCUCUCCUUAAGCAGAGGGCUCCUCCAGGGACACUACUGUUAGCAAUAAUGACUCAGCUGUAGGAUUCUGUUAUUUUCUGCCAUCAUAUUCAGCAAUUCUGGCAAUCAUUCUUAUUGGCAACCCAUUUCACAGAUGUAAACACUGACUGUACCAGAGAAACCCAGAGACCUGCCUGGUGCCACACAGCAGGCUGGCUCAGACACACUGGUAUCUGAGUCCCCUGCCUAUAAGCAGAAUGUCUCCUUGUCCCCCAAGACUGCUGGUGGAACUGGCAUAGGCUGACCCAGUUCAGGCUGGAUAACUCCCAUGAGUCCCUGAACUUCCUGCUCAACUGAGUGGAAGACAAUCAUCUUUCAGAACAGCAAUGGAACAUCACUACACUGUAUGUGGAGCAGAGUUUUGGGGCAUUGCUCUUUUAAAGUCAUUUUCUUUGCCUUCAGGGUUAUUGCUGGGGCUCAGUGCCUGCACUACGGAUUCACUGCUCCUGGAGGCCAUUCCCUCUCCCCCUCCUUUUUUUGCCCUUAUUUAUUGUUGCUGUUGUUACUAUUAAUGCUGUUAUUGCUGUCAUUGUUGUUAGAUAGGACAGAGAGAAAUUGAGAGAGGAGGGGAAGACAGAGAGGAGGAGAGAAAGACAGACACCUGCAGAUCUACUUCACUGCUUGUGAAGCGACCUCCCUGCAGGUGGGGAGCCGGGGGCUCCAAUGGGGGAUCCUUAAGCUAGUUCUUGCACUUUGCGUCAUGGUGCGCUUAACCCGCUGUGCUAUCACCAGACCCCCUUAAAGUCAUUUUUAAUGAGAGUAGGUAAUGGCUCACAGUACAGUUGGUGACACCUGGGUACAAUUUCUCAUCUGGCUUUGAAAGGUCUUUGCAGAACACUCUCUCCCCCAGCUUAGGUGCUUUUCCAUCACCAUGCACCAGGACUCCAAGGCUCUCUCCACCCCUUCCCAUCCUCUCCUUCCCCAGUCUUUUGUUUUGGUACAAUACAGCUUGCCCACACCAAGUGUUUGUUGUUAUUGCUGUUCUUCUUUCAUAAGUCUUUAAGAUAGAGAUAACCAGAAAUAGAGAGGGAAGGGGAAGGUAGAGAG